GAGGUAUAAGAUACAGGAAUUGCUACUUCCUCGUAGUGCAGUUAAAUCAUGCAAUUCCUCA
rnacentral:tRNA from 1 species